UUCACUGCUGUAAAUCAAGUAUAAAAACAAUAUUUAAAUCAGAUGCUUAUAUAUUUUUCUAUCUGUAGGAUGUUUGUUCUUGAUAAGUAUUUCCGGUGUUCAUCGUAAUCCUGUCAUCUGGAGCGAUCCAGAGGUAAGACUCGCUCUCAUCGACACUGAAACAAGUGAGAACAUUGGGAAUGAUGUCUGCAGUCUCUCUCUUCAGGUGUUUGACCCCAUGCGCUUUGAACCGCAGAGGCCAUAGGAAAGAUCACCUCAUGCUUAGAUAGCAUUCUCUGCAGGACCCAGGAACUGCAUCGGUCAAGAACUUUUCUAUGGCAGAAACGAAGGUGGUGGUCGCUAAGGCGCAAGCUGUCAAGGCGCAUGAUUCUGCCCGGACCCAAACCGGUGCGUCGCCUCUAAAAGCUGCUCAUGAGAGAAGAAGGAGGAAGGAUUUUAAACUUUCAGCCUCUCACGCUGUCUCAGGAACAGUAGCCUCCAAAAAUACAUUUAGACAUAAGCAGCACCCUUAUACAUUUCCCUGCGAUUUAUAUAAAUAUAUAGUAAACAAGUCUGUCGUUUUGAUUUAUAAAUCUGUGUUUAAAUGUUUAUGGAAAUUAAAUAUUUCACACAGUACACCACUGAUAACAAGAAUAUAUCUGCACAUGUGACACGCACUCAACCUGUGAAGUCCAGGGCCCGGUUGCAUAAAGGACCUAAAGUGUGAUUUUCAAUUAAGUGUGCCUUUAAAUAUACCUAAAGUUUUACUAAAGUUAUUCUCCUAUUGUGUUUGGUAAAGGGAAAUCACUUAAGAAAAACUUAAGGUGCUUAAUGCAACUGGGCACAGGAACUGAAGAUGAGAUGAGCGACAUCUGGUGUUCACAGCUCGUGCAAAACACACCUGCAAUAAACACAUGCAGAAAACAA